GGUUAAGCGACUAAGCGUACACGGUGGAUGCCCUGGCAGUCAGAGGCGAUGAAGGACGUGCUAAUCUGCGAAAAGCGCCGGCGAGGUGAUAUGAACCCUUGACCCGGCGAUGUCCGAAUGGGGAAACCCAGUGUGUUCCGACACACUAUCGUUAACUGAAUACAUAGGUUAACGAGGCGAACCGGGGGAACUGAAACAUCUAAGUACCCCGAGGAAAAGAAAUCAACCGAGAUUCCCCCAGUAGCGGCGAGCGAACGGGGAGCAGCCCGGAGUCUGAAUCAGCUUGUGUGUUAGUGGAACGGUCUGGAAAGUCCGACGGUACAGGGUGAUAGUCCCGUACACGAAAAUGCACAUGCUGUGAACUCGAAGAGUAGGGCGGGACACGUGGUAUCCUGUCUGAAUAUGGGGGGACCAUCCUCCAAGGCUAAAUACUCCUGACUGACCGAUAGUGAACCAGUACCGUGAGGGAAAGGCGAAAAGAACCCCGGCGAGGGGAGUGAAAAAGAACCUGAAACCGUGUACGUACAAGCAGUGGGAGCACCUUCGGGUGUGACUGCGUACCUUUUGUAUAAUGGGUCAGCGACUUAUAUUCUGUAGCAAGGUUAACCGUAUAGGGGAGCCGAAGGGAAACCGAGUCUUAACUGGGCGUUAAGUUGCAGGGUAUAGACCCGAAACCCGGUGAUCUAGCCAUGGGCAGGUUGAAGGUUGGGUAACACUAACUGGAGGACCGAACCGACUAAUGUUGAAAAAUUAGCGGAUGACCUGUGGCUGGGGGUGAAAGGCCAAUCAAACCGGGAGAUAGCUGGUUCUCCCCGAAAGCUAUUUAGGUAGCGCCUCGUGAACUCAUCUUCGGGGGUAGAGCACUGUUUCGGCUAGGGGGCCAUCCCGGCUUACCAACCCGAUGCAAACUACGAAUACCGAAGAAUGUUAUCACGGGAGACACACGGCGGGUGCUAACGUCCGUCGUGAAGAGGGAAACAACCCAGACCGCCAGCUAAGGUCCCAAAGUCAUGGUUAAGUGGGAAACGAUGUGGGAAGGCACAGACAGCCAGGAUGUUGGCUUAGAAGCAGCCAUCAUUUAAAGAAAGCGUAAUAGCUCACUGGUCGAGUCGGCCUGCGCGGAAGAUGUAACGGGGCUAAACCAUGCACCGAAGCUGCGGCAGCGACGCUUAUGCGUUGUUGGGUAGGGGAGCGUUCUGUAAGCCGUUGAAGGUGUGCUGUGAGGCAUGCUGGAGGUAUCAGAAGUGCGAAUGCUGACAUAAGUAACGAUAAAGCGGGUGAAAAGCCCGCUCGCCGGAAGACCAAGGGUUCCUGUCCAACGUUAAUCGGGGCAGGGUGAGUCGACCCCUAAGGCGAGGCCGAAAGGCGUAGUCGAUGGGAAACAGGUUAAUAUUCCUGUACUUGGUGUUACUGCGAAGGGGGGACGGAGAAGGCUAUGUCAGCCGGGCGACGGUUGUCCCGGUUUAAGCAUGUAGGCGGAGGUUCCAGGUAAAUCCGGUACCUUUUAACGCUGAGGUGUGAUGACGAGGCACUACGGUGCUGAAGUGAUAAAUGCCCUGCUUCCAGGAAAAGCCUCUAAGCAUCAGGUAACACGAAAUCGUACCCCAAACCGACACAGGUGGUCAGGUAGAGAAUACCAAGGCGCUUGAGAGAACUCGGGUGAAGGAACUAGGCAAAAUGGUGCCGUAACUUCGGGAGAAGGCACGCUGAUAUGUAGGUGAAGCCCCUGCGGGCGGAGCUGAAAUCAGUCGAAGAUACCAGCUGGCUGCAACUGUUUAUUAAAAACACAGCACUGUGCAAACACGAAAGUGGACGUAUACGGUGUGACGCCUGCCCGGUGCCGGAAGGUUAAUUGAUGGGGUUAGCGGCAACGCGAAGCUCUUGAUCGAAGCCCCGGUAAACGGCGGCCGUAACUAUAACGGUCCUAAGGUAGCGAAAUUCCUUGUCGGGUAAGUUCCGACCUGCACGAAUGGCGUAAUGAUGGCCAGGCUGUCUCCACCCGAGACUCAGUGAAAUUGAACUCGCUGUGAAGAUGCAGUGUACCCGCGGCAAGACGGAAAGACCCCGUGAACCUUUACUAUAGCUUGACACUGAACACUGGUCCUUGAUGUGUAGGAUAGGUGGGAGGCUUUGAAGCGUGGACGCCAGUCUGCGUGGAGCCGUCCUUGAAAUACCACCCUUUAAUGGCUGGUGUUCUAACGUAGACCCGUGAUCCGGGUUGCGGACAGUGUCUGGUGGGUAGUUUGACUGGGGCGGUCUCCUCCCAAAGAGUAACGGAGGAGCACGAAGGUUGGCUAAUCCUGGUCGGACAUCAGGAGGUUAGUGCAAUGGCAUAAGCCAGCUUGACUGCGAGCGUGACGGCGCGAGCAGGUGCGAAAGCAGGUCAUAGUGAUCCGGUGGUUCUGAAUGGAAGGGCCAUCGCUCAACGGAUAAAAGGUACUCCGGGGAUAACAGGCUGAUACCGCCCAAGAGUUCAUAUCGACGGCGGUGUUUGGCACCUCGAUGUCGGCUCAUCACAUCCUGGGGCUGAAGUAGGUCCCAAGGGUAUGGCUGUUCGCCAUUUAAAGUGGUACGCGAGCUGGGUUUAGAACGUCGUGAGACAGUUCGGUCCCUAUCUGCCGUGGGCGCUGGAGAAUUGAGGGGGGCUGCUCCUAGUACGAGAGGACCGGAGUGGACGCAUCACUGGUGUUCGGGUUGUCAUGCCAAUGGCACUGCCCGGUAGCUAAAUGCGGAAGAGAUAAGUGCUGAAAGCAUCUAAGCACGAAACUUGCCCCGAGAUGAGUUCUCCCUGAGACCUUGAGUCUCCUGAAGGAACGUUAAAGACGAUGACGUUGAUAGGUCGGGUGUGUAAGCGCAGCGAUGCGUUGAGCUAACCGAUACUAAUGAACCGUGAGGCUUAACCUU
rnacentral:rRNA from 1 species